CUUAGGCUUCAAUUUUGCUCCUAGCUCUUCUCCCAACCCUUGAUUCUUCAAGUCCUCUUCUCUCUAACCCUUUUCUCCUCUUUCUCCCACUUUCUCUCUCUAUUCUCUCCAAAAAUAUCUUAUGAAUGAAAGUAUGAGGAAAUUUCUCAUAAGUGUAGGUUUUUAUAUCAAGUCUCCUUAAUGGACCCAACCCUCCACUUAAUGGACUUAACCCAUUUCUAUUUACAUCUUGAAUGUUUCUACACUCUAACGGUAAUUCACUAAACCUUAAAUAUUACUCUAGUAACUUAGUAAAACAUCGGUUCUCACUACUCACCAAAAGUAAUUCUCACCAAAACUUAUAAUUUACCUGUUCUCACAAAAUGACCAAAAUACCCUUCUAACACAGAAACAAUGAAAAUGCACCUAAUGAUGAAUAAUCACACACAAACACAUAAAACACAUAAUAAAAAUAAUUAAAAUAAAUCUAGCUAAAAAUCGGGUUGUUACACCUUAUACAUUAUAAAUUUAUCAAUGACAGACUUGGAGGAAAAAAGAGUAUACUGUUCUUGCUUACUCUUAAAUGAAAUAAAUAAAAAUGAACUUAUAAAUCAACAAUUGGAGUUGCCUUAAUCAGAAAGAAAAUUCUAACCCUAACAAUUGAAGUAAACAAACAAACGAGAGAAGUUGAAUUCAGGGCUUCAGAGAUUUAUUUUCAAAUUACAAUAAGGAGGAUGCACCGGAAGAAGUCGAAUUUUUAUUAAACAUGAGAAAAUCUAUCUCAUAUUUAAUGUUUAGGGUUUAUUUGAUUUCUUCCUUUUAAAAUGAUCAGCAGGCUGGCUAGCAGGAUGUAACAAGCUUGUGGCCGAAUGGAUAUUCAGCAAGGAUUCGUUUGUACCCUCUGCAUGAUGUUCUUUAUGGAUUUAAGAGUGUUUUACUAUAUUUUGGAUAGAUAGUGUUGUAUUAUUCUAUGUAUGAACGCGAAUUGUUGUGUAUAAUAUUCAUUCGAAUUCUUUAUGUUGUAAAUUUUAAUGUAUCCAGUACUAAAGAUAAUGCACAUGCUAAACUUUUUAGAUACGUUUAGUGUGGCUGUUACAAUACUUUAAUGGUGUAGUCCAUAAUUGGUUCCGGCGGGAUUAAAAUAUGGUUCUGAAGGUGCUUACUGAUAAACGCGGGAAAGUUCUCAAGACUGUUCCUAAAUUUUGGCUACAUGCUUUUACGGCCCAUCCAAUCAUUGUCAACCUUUUGAACAACAAGGAUCACGAGAUUUUUGAUGAGUAUCUUAGUUCUAUUGAGGUUGAAGAUAAUCAAGAUGUUAGUACAGCCUAUUCAAUCACCUUUAACUUUAAUGACAAUGCCUAUUUUGAUAAUCAAAGCAUUGCAAAGUCUAUUAUUUUCAUUUAGUUUAGUUGACGUAAAAUCUAUAUCUAUAUAGAAGACAUAUUCAAAUAGCUAGCCCUUAUUUUCAGCACAUGCAAAUUUAGUUUUCUUGCUGUGGAUAUAAAGCAUGCAUAAUAACUCUCUGCACUCCACACACAACAAUUCAUGUUGUUAAAGAGUUGUGAAGCCCAGAUACUUUAAAAUGGAUGAUGUACCAUAUCCCCUGCGUAUCAUGCACCGAUACUUGCCCGAUACUUCUCGAUACGUAUCAGGAGAGUAUCAGAAGAUUAAAUGUUACUUUUUUUAAAAACAAUUCUCCAAUCCUUUUCAGAUACAUCUGGGAUACGAGCGAUUGGCGGUGGAAAACUAAUUUGUGCGAGCUACCUGAUGUUUCUAUUAUAUUUGGUAUAUAUGUAAUUGACUAAGUAAUGAUGUUUUCUAUUUAUGAUAUAUCAUAUAUGUAAUUGACUAA